UAGAAGUUGCAGCGUUUUGUACAUAGUAGAAGCUUGUCACUCACAUAUUUUGACAUAGAAAUAGAGGGAGAACCAUUUCAAAAAGAGAGAUAGAUAAAAGUGUAGAGAGAGAGAGCAUGGAUGAAGCUGUUAUUGUCACAGGAGAGAUGAUACUGGUUGAUAUAGAUUACUUGUUCUAAACAACCAGUAUCAUCUCGCUGUGACAACAAAUCUUUUCAAUCCUCUCAACCAUCAUCAUCAUUGUCAAAGCCGUAUCGCAACAAAUUGGGGUCGGCCCCUUCGAUCCUCUCAAUGUUGUGUAUUGUUUCUCCAGGCCAAAUCAAUAUUGGUAAAAACAGCAAAGUACUUUAGCUCUUUUUACAAGCUCUUUAUGGUGGUAUUUUCAUUUUCGGAAAGAAGAAAAAGGUGGUACAAGAGAAACUAUUUUUAUCUGUAAUUUCUUCUUUGCGUAGUUCAGCAGUUGGAAACGAAAUUGAGAUGUAGCGCUGCUAAACGCUGUGAAAUCCAAUGCGCAACAGCAAAUCUCUUCGCCUCAUGAUUAGUGCAGUGGCUAGCUUGGACCUUAGGUCGAUAUCCCUGCAUCCUAAUUUCGACAGGGGUCAAGACUCCUGAUAAUUUGUAUGUCAUCAUUCAAUGAUGAACUAAUCUUCCAAUGCAUCGAAAAUGAAUUGAGCGCCCAGCCAUCCGAUGACAACAGCCAAUGGGUGGCCAUAAUCUCGCUGGAACUGUCUAGAAUCUUGUUUGGGACUACUGUACUGCUUGAGGUUUGACGUUCGAGAGCUUGGGAGAGAGAUAAAGGACUGUGAAAGAAGAAAGACGUAAUAAAAGAAAGGGUGCAGUUGGCAUAUGGAUGCAUCCGUAGCUGUAGAGAUCUGAGCUACUCUCAGACAGUGUGUGAUGAAGUUGACAACAAGACUAAAGACGCAUGUGGAUGGAUAAGACAAAGUAUAUAAUUACAAAAGAGAGAUAAAAAGGGUGAAUCUAAAUCACAGAUCGAAGACAAGGUUCAUGAUGACACCUGCUAGCCAUCUAAUCCGAAUGUAAUAUCAACAAGAGAUUGAAUGUAUUGAAUGGUGAAAUGCUUGAAAGUUCAAGUACUACUCCCACACAUUGGUUUUGAAUGGACAAGGAAGUGUAGGUUGAUUUCCUACAAAAUAUGAAUCACUGGUUGCUUGAUUUGUACAAAUUAACGAGAGAAGGCUUUUCCAACCUGCAUGCUACAUUGCAAGCAUCACUUACAUCUACCGUUGCCAUGGCUCAGUAACUCCGGAAAGAAAUUCACAGGUAUUCGAGGGAGUCUCAAAUGGUUGAGAUGAGAUCUCUUGGGGGAUGAUGAAGUUGAUAGUUCUCUGGGCUCAAGCAUCAUCGUGUUUCAAAAGCUACCCAAAAGAGUUCUUCACUACCAAAUUUGUAGUGUUAAUCUCACAUCAACCACACAAAAUGGUUAAAUCCUCUCAGUGGAUCCCCCUUCAGUUGGCUGGCUAAACUUAAACUUUGAUGGCCAUGUUAGAUCCGAGACUCAAAAAGCUCGUUAUAGUGAGAUUGUUAGGGAUUACCGGGAAUAUAAUCUUCUCCUAUUUUGGGGAUCUUACCUUUUGUGACAUCAGUGAGGCAGAAUUGACGGUGGUCAAAAAAGAUAUCUCUCGGAUUCAGAAUGAUCAUAACUGCAGUAUUAUUGAAGGAGACUCAGCCAAUGUUAUCAAAUGGUGCACCCACCCACCCUCUAUUCCUUGGCAAUGGACCUCCAUUUUGGAUGAAAUUAUAUUGGCUAUCUCUGCCAAGGAAUUCCAUUUAUGCUACAUUAACAGAGAAAAAAAUGGCGUUGCUGAUGCUCUCGCGAAAUUAGCUACUUCCUAAGCCCUCUUCUUUCUCUCUUUCCUUUUUUCUUUCUCUCUUUUCCUAUGUUUUUUUUUUUUUGCCAUGAAAUUUCUCAUU